UACGGAGGGUGCAAGCGUUAUCCGGAUUCACUGGGUUUAAAGGGUGCGUAGGCGGGCAGGUAAGUCCGUGGUGAAAUCUCCAAGCUUAACUUGGAAACUGCCGUGGAUACUAUUUGUCUUGAAUAUAGUGGAGGUGAGCGGAAUAUGUCAUGUAGCGGUGAAAUGCUUAGAUAUGACAUAGGACACCCAUUGCGAAGGCAGCUCGCUACACUAUUAUUGACGCUGAGGCACGAAAGCGUGGGGAUCAAACAGG
rnacentral:rRNA from 1 species